CAAUUGGGAAUAAUCUAAGGCAUGCGAGUCAUUGUAGCAAUACAAGGCAGACGGCUCAGUAACGCGUAGUCAAUCUACCCUAUGGACGGGAAUAACCUCGGGAAACUGAGAAUAAUGCCCGAUAGAACAUUAUACCUGGAACGGUUUGUGUUCCAAAUGAUUUAUCGCCGUAGGAUGGGACUGCGGCCUAUCAGUUUGUUGGUGAGGUAAUGGCCCACCAAGACUAUUACAGGUACGGGCUCUGAGAGGAGUAGCCCGGAGAUGGGUACUGAGACACGGACCCAGGCCCUAUGGGGCGCAGCAGGCGAGAAAACUUUGCAAUGUGCGAAAGCACGACAAGGUUAAUCCGAGUGGUUUCUGCUAAAGGAACCUUUUGUCAGUCCUAGAAACACUGACGAAUAAGGGGUGGGCAAGUUCUGGUGUCAGCCGCCGCGGUAAAACCAGCACCUCAAGUGGUCAGGAUGAUUAUUGGGCCUAAAGCAUCCGUAGCCGGCUCUGUAAGUUUUCGGUUAAAUCUGUACGCUCAACGUACAGGCUGCCGGGAAUACUGCAGAGCUAGGGAGUGGGAGAGGUAGACGGUACUCGGUAGGAAGGGGUAAAAUCCUUUGAUCUAUUGAUGACCACCUGUGGCGAAGGCGGUCUACCAGAACACGUCCGACGGUGAGGGAUGAAAGCUGGGGGAGCAAACCGGAUUAGAUACCCGGGUAGUCCCAGCUGUAAACUAUGCAAACUCAGUGAUGCAUUGGCUUGUGGCCAAUGCAGUGCUGCAGGGAAGCCGUUAAGUUUGCCGCCUGGGAAGUACGUACGCAAGUAUGAAACUUAAAGGAAUUGGCGGGGGAGCACCACAAGGGGUGAAGCCUGCGGUUCAAUUGGAGUCAACGCCGGG
rnacentral:rRNA from 1 species